ACAAUGAGUUAUUUGCUGUGUGCACAUUCUAGUUUGGAGGUCAAAUGAAAAAUGGGAGGCCGAAGGAGCCUGAUUUCCAGCAUCCACGAUUUACUGUCCCAUUAGUACCAUACCUACCUACUAUCUACCUCAUUGAUGACUCUUGGACUAUCCUUGAUCGGAUUUUGUUGGCUUUACUUUGCACUAAACGUUAUUCCUUUAUCAUGUAUCCAUGCACUGUAAAUGGCUCCAUUGUAAUCAUGUGUUGUCUUUCUGCUGACUGGAUUGCAUGCAACAAAAGCUUUUCAUUGUACCUCGGUACAAUGACAAUAAACUAAAGUGAAACUGAAA